CAACUACUCCCUCUGUCCCAAAUUUCUUGUCUUAGAUUUGUCUAGAUACGGAUGUAUCUAAUACUAAAAUGUGACUUGAUACAUCCAUAUCUAGACAAAUUUAAGACAAGAAUUUUGGGACGGAGGGAGUACUUU
rnacentral:pre_miRNA from 1 species